rnacentral:rRNA from 1 species
AUGGAGAGCCCUGAUUCCGAGUUAUGGCUUGAGGCCAUGGGAUCCGAAUUAAAGUCCAUGGAUGACAAUCAAGUUUGGAACUUGGUUGAUCUGCCAGAUGGCGUUCGAGCCAUUGAGUGCAAGUGGAUCUUUAAGAAGAAAACUGAUAUGGACGAAAAUGUCACAGUCCAUAAGGCUCGACUUGUUUCUAAAGGUUAUCGACAAGUUCAAGGAGUUGACUACGAUGAGACUUACUCACCGGUAGCGAUGCCUAAAUCAAUUCGGAUCAUUCUUGUGAUAGCGGCAUAUUUCGACUAUGAAAUAUGGCAGAUGGAUGUCAAAACGGCUUUCCUUAAUGGAAAUUUAACCGAGGAUGUGUAUAUGACACAACCCGAGGGUUUUGUCGAUCCAAAGAAGUCUAGCAUGGCCUUUUUCUAG